GACAGCAGUAUUUUAGCAAAAAGACGCCAUUGUUUUAUGAUUAUAGUGUAUAUUUGUGAUGCGUAUCAACAAAUCCACUACGAUGCCAUAUACCUAUGCUGGCUUUACAUAGUAAGCGUAUUGUUGGGAAUUCCAUGUAGAGCACAGAGUUGUAAGCUGGAGGUUGCCAACCUCACAGUUAGUAGUAGAAUUCCUGACUUAAUGUGUGGUGGAGGAUGG